rnacentral:rRNA from 1 species
UACAGAGGUCCCGAGCGUUGUUCGGAUUCACUGGGCGUAAAGCGUGCGCAGGCGGUUGUGCAAGACCGAUGUGAAAUCCCCGGGCUCAACCUGGGAAUGGCAUUGGUGACUGCACGGCUAGAGUGUGUCAGAGGGGGUAGAAUUCCACGUGUAGCAGUGAAAUGCGUAGAGAUGUGGAGGAAUACCGAUGGCGAAGGCAGCCCCCUGGGAUAACACUGACGCUCAUGCACGAAAGCGUGGGAGCAAACAGG